UUCAAAUGAGUUUGUAAGAGGGAGAGCCAGCAAAGGAUUUGGCUAUUUAUCAUCAGAGUAGCAAUGAAAGGGGAAACGGGCUGGUGUGAAAACUAGGGAGGUGAGAAGUGCUUCUGAGAACAGAGGUGAAAUGAGAGAAAUGAUUGAAAGCACCAGACUGUGAUGCAGUCUUCUCCCCCUCAAAAAAGAUUGCCAGGGCUGGCACUAUAACCAAGCUGAAACCGAGAGGGAGUUCCAGCUGAAUGGAAAUGGUGCAAUUGGUUCAGUUUGUUCCACAUGCCUCCCUGAUCCAUUGUCGGGCUGACGUGCAGGCCUGAUGGAUGGCAAGACUCACCUGCAUGAAACAUGUCCUUAAUACUCGGCUGUUGUGUGAAUGUAUCGUGGCAUGUAAAGUUCAAAUAUAUCCGUGUCACAGUAAACCCAGAUGACAACUGUCAGCAUGAAUGUGGCAUUGGCAGCACUGCAGCAGGUCAGCAAAAAAGUUUUUGUUUAGGGCCAUCACUCAUCUUUUGAUCAAAUAACUCCCUUUAAUACAUUUUUUAAAUGGGUCUUUGUAGCUUAAACACCGAAAUGCUUCCCAAAUAUUGAAAGAAAUACUGGGCGAUUUGUAACCUUUUUUGUCGAACAAUAUUUAAAUGAAUGAAAUGAACGAUAUGUGUAUGAUAUUAUUUAACUACAAGUAUGCGAAAUGUUCACCGACAGAAGCAUUUAUGCAUGGAUAUAAAUUUCCCUGGCAUACUCCUGUUUCCGGAAUGGGCUUCUUCCUCACAAUAAACUAUACUUUUGUACACUUUC